rnacentral:rRNA from 1 species
GUAGGGAAUCUUCCACAAUGGACGAAAGUCUGAUGGAGCAACGCCGCGUGAGUGAAGAAGGUCUUCGGAUCGUAAAACUCUGUUGUUAGAGAAGAACGUGCAUGAUAGUAACUGAUCAUGUAAUGACGGUAUCUAACCAGAAAGCCACGGCUAACUACGUGCCAGCAGCCGCGGUAAUACGUAGGUGGCAAGCGUUGUCCGGAUUUAUUGGGCGUAAAGGGAACGAAGGCGGUUUUUUAAGUCUGAUGUGAAAGCCUUCGGCUUAACCGAAGAAUAGCAUUGGAAACUGGAAGACUUGAGUGCAGAAGAGGAGGGUGGAAUUCCAUGUGUAGCGGUGAAAUGCGUAGAUAUAUGGAGGAACACCAGUGGCGAAAGCGGCUCUCUGGUCUGUAACUGACGCUGAGGUUCGAAAGCGUGGGUAGCAAACAGGAUUAGAAACCCGGGUAGUCC